CCACGUUAAGGGUUCUCAUUCCACCACAUUGAUUCUAAACCAAGUUAUUAAUGAAAAUAUUCUCAUUCAAGAAAAAUUAAGCCUAUUUUUUCUUGUACAUGCCAUACAAAGUUUCAUGUGAAACAAAUAGCAUGUCAAAGGGAUACUUACCUCGACGUGCCUAACUAAUCCCCACCACCAACUUCUGGAACACCUCAAAACCAACCUAAAAAAGUAAAAUUACGAGGAAAACACAUUUUUUCUAAUCAUUCCACCCUUUAUAAAUGUUUGACUCUAGGUUUUUCUA
rnacentral:lncRNA from 1 species